rnacentral:tRNA from 1 species
GGAUAGCCGCCGGAUGAACGGGUGUCAUUGAUGUUGACAAUCAUGGGAUUAUAUCCCGCUGUCCU